GUGCCACUAAACACAUUUUUCACUGUAGCGAGUCUUGAGAAAAAUACUAAAUAAGGGCUGUGCUCUAUGAAGGACUGCCUUUGGAACUAUAACAGUGAUUAAAUUCUAUCCAGUGCAGUGAAAUUCUCAAAAUUGAGAGGAAGAGUUAUCAAGGAGUCUCAGCCAUUUCUACAUUCAUGGAUCACAUGAAAAUAUGGAAGAUCCAUGCUGAAUCCAGGUGUUGCAAUGC